UGGAUGGGGAAUGCGAUCUCCCCACGAGGCGCCAGCCGAAGAAUCGCGUCCAGCCCAAGUGACAAGGACGCGCCAUG
rfam:Sphingomonas sp. Leaf231 contig_2, whole genome shotgun sequence.